rnacentral:rRNA from 1 species
GAUGAACGCUGGCGGCGUGCCUAACACAUGCAAGUCGAGCGGCAGCGCGGGGUGCUUGCACCCUGUCCGCUAGCGGCGGACGGCUGAGUAACGCGUGGAAACGUUCCCCAAAGUGAGGAAUAACUUCCCGAAAGGGUAGCUAAUACCGCAUAUUAUCUUCGGAUCAAAGGAUUUAUUCGCGUUGGAAGCUGAUCGCGUCGCAUUAGGUAGUUGGUGAGCUAAUGGCUCACCAAGCCGACGAUCCGUAGAUGGUCUGAGAGGAUGACCAGCCAGACUGGAAGGGAGACACGGUACAGAAUCCUACGGGAGGCAGGAGUGAGGAAUGGUGCAAAGUGGGCGAAAGGAUGAUGGAGCAACGACGGGUGAAGGACGAAGGUAUGGGAGUUCUAAAGUGUUUGUAUAAGUGAGGAAUAUGACGGUAACUAAUGAAUAAGGAUCGGCUAACUACGUG